CGCUCGGACAGAGAGAGCAGCACGGCCGGACCCGCUGGGACAGAGAGAGCAGCACGGCCGGACCCGCUCGGCAGCAGGGCAGGUGAAAUGAUGGCAGGAGAUGCUCAGGUGUGAUGAUGGCAGGAGAUGCUCAGGUACAAUAGCAGGAGAUGCUCAGGUACAAUAGCAGGGGAUGCUCAGCUGUGAUGGUGGCAGGAGAUGCUCAGGUGAGAUGAUGGCAGGGGAUGCUCAGGUGUGAUGAUGGCAGGGGAUGCUCAGGUGUGAUGAUGUCAGAGGAUGCUCAGGUGUGAUAUCAGGAGAUGCUCAGGUGUGAUGAUGUCGGGAUGCUCAGGUACAAUAGCAGGGGAUGCUCAGCUCACCUCAGCUCCUCUGGCACAGGUGAGCUCCACGCUGUAGCUGCCCACCACCCAAAUCCUAAAAUGUCUUCCAAUUCCAUUUCCAGACUCCUCUGACUCCAGUAACUCUUAACAUAUACAGAUAGCCAUAUACAUUUUUUUGUUGUUUUUAAUUAAAAAGCUCCUUCACAUACACAAUCAUAUAUUGAAUUAGCAAGAACAAUAAUAUAUUUCUUGGAGAAUAGCAAAACAUCUGCUCUGCCAGUGCCACCCACAAACUAGACAAAGAACUAAGAAAUCUGACAGUUUCAGACCACUUAGGAAAGAGAAAUUCUCUUGGUCUAAAGAAAGGGAGCCAUGCAGUGAAGGUGCCAUGGAGGGUACAGCAAACACAAUAUACAGAAAAACACAAAGUGUUAAAAAUGUUUUCUUGUAAAGAUUCUGCAGCCAGAGGGUGAGUCCUGACCAUUGGGAGCUUUCUUUACAAUUUAAGAAAUACUGGAUAGCAUUGAAGAAUGACACUGAAAAAAAUAGAAGAGCUACACAGACACUAAAAGAUUGAUUUUGGCCAAAAGCUGAAAUUUCCUUUAAUGUGUCAGGGGAGGGUUCUGAAUUUUAAGAGUGCAUCUGAUUUGCAAAAAGUUGUCACUGCCAACCUCAUGGAAGAAUAAAAACCAUUUGACUCCAUAAGGGACCUCAAUGUCUUGGCAACAAAACUGAAAGCCCUCCUUGCCAAGGACAAAAUGCCCAACAAAAGAGAAGAAUCAGAGAAGGAAAAGGAAAACUUUCUUUUAAGUUUCAUUGCAAACACCUGGAAGAGAAAAAAGAACAAAAAGGGUGGGAGAGGAAGCAGCUUCCAGUAAAAAACAGCUGUGUGAUUUUGGGGCCAGAUCAAUCAAAUUGGCAGAACAGGCUCCAGACUGGGAAUUUUUGCUGUUUCCAUAGCAGAAGUUACCCCAAAGCUGGAUUUGAGUAUUUUAAAUUGUAUCAUAUCUGCCAGCACAAUUCAGACCCAACUGCCCCACUGGGUCUUUCCUAUGGAAUUGUGGCUCAUGGACAAUCCCAGAACUGUGGGUGGUGGCUCAGGGCUGGGAACAACUCUCAAUAAUCCAGCUGCUCACGCCAGAUUUUCCUUCCCAAAAGGAUUGGGGGAAUGAGCUCCCCUGGACAAACUCAGCCCCCUGAGACCUGGGGCCAGCCCUGCUGAGCAUCACCCCCGGCAGCAGCUUUGAGAACACCCAGGGAUGGAGCAAGGCUGGGAUCCCCCCAUGAACCCCCAGCCCUGCACCCCCUGUGCCUCAGCUUGGCAUUUUCGGGGUGAAAGAACCUUCAAGUGGUGAAAAUCUUCCUAAACUCAAACCCUGCAAGGCCAAACAUCAACACAUUUUGCUGUGUCUCCCCUUUGGGGGGGCGAUUGCUCACCCCACAAACAUCAGUGGGUGCAGCUGGGGGAGCCCCAGCCUGGCUGGAGGGGGUAACAAACUCACCUAAAGACAUGGAUAAAUGACAAAAAACAGAAUCUGAACACAAAAAAUGGGUUCUGCUGCUCCUGGAUGAGAUGUGCGAAGCGUUGAUGGAAAAGCUCAUGAGUAUCACCAGCAGAGAGCAGAGGGGUGACCACAACAGGGGGGGUUUGUCUGGCUGUACACAGCAUUCUCAUUCAAAAUUAAACUCCUGCCAUGAAAUACCUUCACAGAUUUAACAAUAUAUAUAUAUAUAUUUAGUAUCCCCUGCGUAAAAGAAAAAUACACAUUAUUUCAACAGCCAAGAAAAAACUGCAAUUUAUUAAGUUUCAAAGAAUCUUCGUACUCUUGAAAGCAACUUUCGGUGCAUGUUCUUUUAACAAUCACAUUCUAUGAGGAGAAUAAACAUUAAAAGCCACAAUUGUUGGUUUUCUUUUUAAUCUCAGAGUUACAGACAUCUUUAAUUCAAAAGGAAAGGCAAAAAAAAAAACCAAAACCAAAGCCCCUAAAAACAAAACCCACCCGUCCCCCCCAACCCCUCCAACAGAAAUUUUCAUUCCCAAUUUGAAAAUAUCAGGAGUUUUUCUACAACUCAAUGCUAAACUUCAGCAUGGAAAAUUGUAUGUAAACACGCACAUACACACAUACAUAUUUUAUAUAAGUGUGUGUGUGUAUAUAUAUAUAUAAAAUAUAUAUGUAGGAGGCGUGUAAUGGCAAUGAGAUGCAAUUACUCUGAGGAAAGGUUAUUCAGCUAAAUACACUACUAAAACUUGAGAAAAAAACAAAACAAACAAGUCUUGAACCCAGUUUGUGCAUAGUUCAUGAUCCUCUAUAAAACCAGCUUUUGUUAAUUUGCAAUCUUGCAGGACCCUUUAAAUCUGAUAAAACCAUUAAAAAGCUAAUCUUCCAAAAAAAAAAAAAAAAUGUAAUGCACAAGUUUCCUGAUCCAAGCAGGCAGGGAGCACAAUGUUCAUAUAAUUUUUAAAACAUACUUGAAGUGUAUGUUAUUCCAUUGUCUUUCUUCCUUUCAAAACAAUCAAAAACAUUGAUCUUUUUUUUUUAAACAUAAAGCGAUUUUUUUAAUAUAUAAAGCACUCUUCAAACAUCUAUUUCUUUUGAGUCCAUUAUUUGGUAAAUAUGUAACUGCUACACAUUAGAUUAGGUAUUUUCUUCUUUCUUACUGUCUUUUUUUUUAUUUUAUUUUGUUUUUUAAUAAUAUCUUCAGUGCUAGGAGUUGGGUUUUAAAAAUACAUGAAAUGGUGUGGAGUUGCUCCUCGGGAAACCCGGCUUUCCUGAGACAUCUUCCACCAUGUGCAAGAUAGUGAUCACAAAGUUUUCGCCACUUUGACGAAGAGGAGGAAAACAACAACAAAAAUAGUACACAGCAAUGGCCAAAGAAAAGGAUAAUACAACAACACUGUUCAAUCCCAGAGCUCUGAAGUAGCAUAUCUUCAUUCUGAAAAUAGUUUUCUUUACGAUGGAAGUCUUUUUUUUUUUUUGUUUUGUUUUUUCUCUUUUUUUUUUUUUUUUUUUUUUUUUAAAUUCCUUUUUUUAUUUUAAAGUUUGAAGGAGAAAAAAAGGUCUGUAAACAGGUGGGAGCCAAAACUCCUGGCUCCUCCAAAAGCAGUCAAAACUUAUGUCCAAGUGCUUGUUUCUGUUCCUGCUUGCAAGGGAACUAUCAACUCUUUACAAUUAUCUAUGGCCACAGUUCAACAAGAGUAUUUUUUUUUUUUUUAAACUUUAUAUUCCGAAUGGAAAAAUGGUGCAAUACUCCGGUAAUAAUUUUCUUGCAUUAGUCCACAAUAAAAAGCCGCUAAAGGUAGAUAUACAUAUUAUUCUCCAGAGAUACACACUGUAAUUUUUAAAAUGCAAUAAGAGUCCUUGAGUAAACAUUUACACGUGAAUUGUCGCCGGCCCCUUCUAUCAGUUUCUUUCCUUUUUUUUUUUCCUUUUUUUUCUUUUUUUUUUUUCUUUUUUUUGUUUUUUGUGUGUUUUUACCAUUACAGGAUUAGCUACAAGAAGGGCUGCGGACACUCAGUGCAAAGUUAGAAGCUAAUAACAAUUAAACAUUUGACCAAUGAGCAAAUAAAAAGCAUAUACUGAACCAAAGGAAAAAAAAACAACUUCACACGUUGAGUUAAACCACACGUGGGCACACACACACACACACACACUCUCACAC